rnacentral:rRNA from 1 species
CGCGUAGGUGGUUUGUUAAGUUGAAUGUGAAAUCCCCGGGCUCAACCUGGGAACUGCAUCCAAAAACUGGCAGGCUAGAGUAUGGUAGAGGGUAGUGGAAUUUCCUGUGUAGCGGUGAAAUGCGUAGAUAUAGGAAGGAACACCAGUGGCGAAGGCGACUACCUGGACUGAUACUGACACUGAGGUGCGAAAGCGUGGGGAGCAAACA